rnacentral:lncRNA from 1 species
GUUUCAGAGAACAGUAUCAAGACUCCUACUGAGCAGAGAGAGGGAAGCUGAUACAGAUAAGAAAGGCCAAUGCCCUUCAUAUCUGCUGGCAAAGCCAGUCAAGACAUAUAUAAAUGAGAAGGCCAGCUCAGAACUCAGUCAAGACCCAUCCUGACAAGAUGAAUCCCAUCAGCUUGUUCCUCCUUACAUUACUCCUUGUUCUGGUGACAAAAACAGAAGCGAGGAGACCCCGUGAAAAAUUCUCACAAGAGUCUGAAGAGAGUUCUUCUAGUGCAGCCUCUGAAGUUACUUCAUCGGGGGAAAGCGGGGGAUCAAGUUCUUCCCAGGACGACAACAGCCCAAGUGAUAAGUCAGGGGGUUCCUCCUUUAAAAAAUCAAGCAGCAUGUUCAAGGAGACAGUCUAUGAGGAAAGGAAGAAAAAACAGAGUGGUGGUGACGGUGGUGAUGGUGAUGGUAAGAGUGACUCAGAACUAGAGCGGUCUUAUGUAAGGAGAAAGGAAAAGCAACGGGUUGCACAAGAAGUAGCUAAAUAAUGUGGCUAUGAACCAACUGUCAAGUGGACAAAAGUAAUGGUUACCUGACCGCUCCCAAGGAGUUGCAUAAUCUGCAUGAAGCCUAUGGUAUCUUCAGGAUGGAGACUCCCAUGAGGUUCCAGAGACAGUUUGUGGAUUUCACUCACUUCUCCAUGUUUGUUUUUGAGAUUAAAAACCCAACAUUUGUUAAAAUACCUUCUUUCCAAUAAAAGACUACAUUUUGCAUCA